GAGGAAUAUUGGACAAUGGAGGCAACUCUGAUCCAGCCAUGCCGCGUGCAGGAAGACGGCCCUAUGGGUUGUAAACUGCUUUUAUUUAGGAAGAAACCCUUCUACGUGUAGAAGGCUGACGGUACUAUAUGAAUAAGGACCGGCUAACUCCGUGCCAGCAGCCGCGGUAAUACGGAGGGUCCAAGCGUUAUCCGGAAUUAUUGGGUUUAAAGGGUCCGCAGGCGGAACUUUAAGUCAGGGGUGAAAUUUCUAGGCUUAACCUAGACAUUGCCUUUGAAACUAAAGUUCUUGAAUUCGGUCGAAGUGGGCGGAAUAUGUCAUGUAGCGGUGAAAUGCUUAGAUAUGACGUGGAACUCCGAUAGCGAAGGCAGCUCACUAGGCCUGAAUUGACGCUCAGGGACGAAAGCGUGGGGAGCAAAC
rnacentral:rRNA from 1 species